rnacentral:rRNA from 1 species
GUUGAACGCUGGCGGCAGGCCUAACACAUGCAAGUCGAACGAGUGGCGGCCGGGUGAGUAAUGUCUGGGAAACUGCCCGCUGGCGGGGGAUAACUACUGGAAACGGUAGCUAAUACCUCAUACCAUCGGAUGUGCCCAGAUGGGAUUGGCUAGUAGGUUGGGUAGCGGCUCACCGAGGCGACGAUCCCUAGCUGGUCUGAGAGGAUGACAAGGCACACGGGAACUGAGACACGGUCCAGAGUCCUACGGGAGGCAGCAGUGGGGAAUAUUGCAAGAUGGGAGCAAGCCUGAUGCAGCCAUGCCGCGUGGAUGAAGAAGGCAUGCGGGUUGUAAAGUAGUUUCAGCGAGGAGGCGUUACGCGCAGAAGAAGCACCGGCUAACUCCGUGCCAGCAGCCGCGGUAAUUC